rnacentral:rRNA from 1 species
AGAGUUUGAUCCUGGCUCAGGAUAAACGCUGGCGGCGUGCCUAACACAUGCAAGUCGAACGCUCUUGGCAACAAGGGAGUGGCGGACGGGUGAGGAACACGUGGGUACCUGCCCUGAGGUGAGGAAUACCGGCGAGAAAUCGCCGACAAUACCGCAUAGGCUUCCUUCGGGAAGCAAAGCUCGCAAGAGCGCCACAGGAG